GUCAAUUCGGUCGAUUCUCGUACGUCGGUAGUAACGCGUAUGACGUGCAUUACGCCAGAUAUACACACACGUUAUAUUCAGCAUCGAGUCGGAGUCGACCCGGACGGGUAUCUCCCCCUAGGGGAGGGGCGUCCAGCGGUAAUUCUGCGCAAUUACCCCCAGCUCAUUCCUCUGGGCUUUUAGAAGGCAGCAGUUAUUCGUUCUCCGCAGGUUACUACCAGCCAUAUACAGCCCUCCUCCGUUCCUUCCCUUCAUCGAUACGCGAUUGUAACGUUUCGCUUCUGUGUGCAGGUUCCCGAUUAAAUUCACGAAGGAUGACUCUGAUUACUCCCAGUUUUCGAUCGGAUGAGAUCAUCGACGACGUUGUACUAUCUCAAUUCUCACGUGGAGCUUGGACAGUUUUAUCGUAUACGGGCUGCAGUUGGAGAGAUGAUCGAAAAAGCUGAAUCCGGAGCGAAAGUUCUGAUGGGAUGAAAAAAAAAAAACCAAAAAACAAAAGGACAG